CCUACGGGUGGCAGCAGUGGGGAAUAUUGCACAAUGGGGGAAACCCUGAUGCAGCGACGCCGCGUGAGUGAAGAAGGAUUUCGGUAUGUAAAGCUCUAUCAGCAGGGAAGAAAAUGACGGUACCUGUUUAAGAAGCCCCGGCUAACUACGUGCCAGCAGCCGCGGUAAUAAGUAGGGGGCAAGCGUUAUCCGGAUUUACUGGGUGUAAAGGGAGCGUAGGCGGCAGCACAAGUCUGGAGUGAAAUGCCGGGGCUUAACCCCGGAACUGCUUUGGAAACUGGGCAGCUAGAGUGCAGGAGAGGUAAGUGGAAUUCCUGGUGUAGCGGUGAAAUGCGUAGAUAUUAGGAGGAACACCAGUGGCGAAGGCGGCUUACUGGACUGUAACUGACGUUGAGGCUCGAAAGCGUGGGGAGCAAACAGGAUUAGAUACCCGAGUAGUC
rnacentral:rRNA from 1 species